CACGGGGGGAGCAAGCGUUGUUCGGAAUCACUGGGCGUAAAGGGCGUGUAGGCGGUUCGGUAAGUGGAAUGUGAAAUCCCUCGGCUCGCCCGAGGACCUGCAUCCCAAACUGCCGAGCUUGAGUAUGGGAGAGGAUGAGGGAAUUCCUGGUGUAGCGGUGAAAUGCGUAGAUAUCAGGAGGAACACCGGUGGCGAAGGCGCUCAUCUGGCCCAAUACUGACGCUGAGGCGCGAAAGCUAGGGGAGCAAACGGG
rnacentral:rRNA from 1 species